rnacentral:rRNA from 1 species
UAGUCCACGCCGUAAACGAUGUCGACUAGCCGUUGGGAGACUUGAUUUCUUAGUGGCGCAGCUAACGCACUAAGUCGACCGCCUGGGGAGUACGGCCGCAAGGUUAAAACUCAAAUGAAUUGACGGGGGCCCGCACAAGCGGUGGAGCAUGUGGUUUAAUUCGAUGCAACGCGAAGAACCUUACCAGGCCUUGACAUCCUGAGAAUUUGGUAGAGAUACCUUAGUGCCUUCGGGAACUCAGUGACAGGUGCUGCGUGGCUGUCGUCAGCUCGUGUCGUGAGAUGUUGGGUUAAGUCCCGUAACGAGCGCAACCCUUGUCCCUAUUUGCCAGCACUUCGGGUGGGAACUCUAGGGAGACUGCCGGUGACAAACCGGAGGAAGGUGGGGACGACGUCAAGUCAUCAUGGCCCUUACGACUUGGGCUACACACGUGCCACAAUGGUCGGUACAGAGGGCAGCAAAGCGGCGACGUGGAGCCAAUCCCUUAAAACCGGUCGUAGUCCGGAUUGGAGUCUGCAACUCGACU